rnacentral:rRNA from 1 species
AUUGAACGCUGGCGGCAGGCCCAACACAUGCAAGUCGAGCGGAUGAAGGGAGCUUGCUCCUGGAUUCAGCGGCGGACGGGUGAGUAAUGCCUAGGAAUCUGCCUAGUAGUGGGGGAUAACGUCCGGAAACGGGCGCUAAUACCGCAUACGUCCUGAGGGAGAAAGUGGGGGAUCUUCGGACCUCACGCUAUCAGAUGAGCCUAGGUCGGAUUAGCUAGUUGGUGGGGUAAAGGCCUACCAAGGCGACGAUCCGUAACUGGUCUGAGAGGAUGAUCAGUCACACUGGAACUGAGACACGUUCCAGACUCCUACGGGAGGCAGCAGUGGGGAAUAUUGGACAAUGGGCGAAAGCCUGAUCCAGCCAUGCCGCGUGUGUGAAGAAGGUCUUCGGAUUGUAAAGCACUUUAAGUUGGGAGGAAGGGCAGUAAGUUAAUACCUUGCUGUUUUGACGUUACCAACAGAAUAAGCACCGGCUAACUUCGUG